GCAGAGUGUGUGUUUGUAUGAGUGUGUGUGUGUAUAUAUAAUGCACACACUCUGCAUUAUAUACACACACACUCAUACAAACACACACUCUGCAU
rnacentral:miRNA from 1 species